UCUCUGAUAGUAUAUCGGUUAGUACACGCGCCUGUCAUACUUUGCAAACCAGUGGUCAUGCGCGCGAAAGCUGGGUUCGACUCCCAGUCAGAGAG